rnacentral:lncRNA from 1 species
AUGUUCCUCCUGCUGCAUAUAAGAAGCAGAACACAGAACAUUAUGGUCUCUUCUGUAAAUCCACCUAGUGCCAAGUGUGUGUAGGCUCCCCGGGGUCUGGGAGGAUGGACAUUGGCUUCCUAAGGAGACCUGUCCUCCAGGGACAGAGGGAGGAACGUGCUUGCCAGCCAGAGUCCAGGCUGUUGGAGGCCCAUGAGGAGGAAACUGAACUCAGAGGGGUUAAGUAACUAGCCCUGAGGUCACACAGCUAGGAAGAGGAAGAAUCAAGAUUACAGUCCUGUACCAUCCUCUAAAUGACAUUCGAGGACCCCCUCCUGCUCCAGGAGACUGGGACUUUCUGAAGCCUUCCAUUGGGGUGUAAUUAGUUGUUUUCUAGUUGUUUCCUGUGCUGGAGGUUGUCUUCUCACCUAGACUUGGUCUCUUUAAGGCCUGGCUGUAUUUUAUCCUUUUCUUCUAUGGAGACCCUCAAUCCUACACAUUUGAAUAAAGUCAUACGUGCUUGUGUUACA